UUCACACAUACAGGUAAAUCACCUGUUCCUCGCUAAAAGUUCAAAUCAUUUUAACGUUAUUGUGUAUUCUUGCCCCUAUUUUCAUCUGUUGCUGAGUAACAAACAUUAACAUCCCAUGGUCUCUUGAAUGUAGCAUACCUGUAGCAAGCUCCUUCGUAGUAACCAGCGGUAAAAACAAACGUCAAAGAGGAGCUCCGUGCUACAUAGCAGUGAUUCAAAGUUAUUUAAGAC